AGGACGAACGCUGGCGGCGUGCUUAACACAUGCAAGUCGAACGGAAAGGCCCUUUCGGGGGUGCUCGAGUGGCGAACGGGUGAGUAACACGUGGGUGAUCUGCCCUGCACUUUGGGAUAAGCCUGGGAAACUGGGUCUAAUACCGAAUACACCUUGCUGGCUGCAUGGCUGGUGGGGGAAAGCUUUUGCGGUGUGGGAUGGGCCCGCGGCCUAUCAGCUUGUUGGUGGGGUGAUGGCCUACCAAGGCGACGACGGGUAGCCGGCCUGAGAGGGUGUCAGGCCACACUGGGACUGAGAUACGGCCCAGACUCCUACGGGAGGCAGCAGUGGGGAAUAUUGCACAAUGGGCGCAAGCCUGAUGCAGCGACGCCGCGUGAGGGAUGACGGCCUUCGGGUUGUAAACCGUCUUUCAGUAUCGACGAAGCGCAAGUGACGGUAGGUACAGAAGAAGCACCGGCCAACUACGUGCCAGCAGCCGCGGU
rnacentral:rRNA from 1 species